UACGGAGGGUGCAAGCGUUAUCCGGAUUCACUGGGCUUAAAGGGAGCGCAGGCGGAUUUGUAAGUCAGUGGUGAAAGGCUUAAGCUUAACUUGGGAACUGCCAUUGAUACUAUAAGUCUUGAAUGUUGUUGAGGUUUGCGGAAUGGGUCAUGUAGCGGUGAAAUGCAUAGAUAUGACCCGGAACACCUAUUGCGAAGGCAGCAGGCUAAACAAAUAUUGACGCUGAGGCGCGAAAGCUAGGGUAGCAAACGGG
rnacentral:rRNA from 1 species